rnacentral:rRNA from 1 species
CGUGAGGGAUGACGGCCUUCGGGUUGUAAACCUCUUUCAGCAGGGACGAAGCGAAAGUGACGGUACCUGCAGAAGAAGCACCGGCCAACUACGUGC